UACGGGGGGGGGUAAGCGUUGUUCGGAAUUACUGGGCGUAAAGGGCUCGUAGGCGGCCAACUAAGUCGGACGUGAAAUCCCUCAGCUUAACUGGGGAACUGCGUCCGAUACUGGAUGGCUUGGAUUUGGGAGAGGGAUGCGGAAUUCCAGGUGUAGCGGUGAAAUGCGUAGAUAUCUGGAGGAACACCGGUGGCGAAGGCGGCAUCCUGGACCGGCAUUGACGCGUGAGGCGCGAAAGCCAGGGGGAGCAAACGGGG
rnacentral:rRNA from 1 species